rnacentral:rRNA from 1 species
GACGGAGGAUGCAAGUGUUAUCCGGAAUCACUGGGCGUAAAGCGUCUGUAGGUGGUUUAAUAAGUCAACUGUUAAAUCUUGAGGCUCAACCUCAAAAUCGCAGUCGAAACUAUUAGGCUAGAGUAUAGUAGGGGUAAAGGGAAUUUCCAGUGGAGCGGUGAAAUGCGUAGAGAUUGGAAAGAACACCGAUGGCGAAGGCACUUUACUGGGCUAUUACUAACAUUCAGAGACGAAAGCUAGGGUAGCAAAUGGG